AUGAACGCUGGCGGCGUGCCUCAUACAUGCAAGUCGAGCGAACAGACGAGGAGCUUGCUCCUUUGACGUUAGCGGCGGACGGGUGAGUAACACGUGGGUAACCUACCUAUAAGACUGGGAUAACUUCGGGAAACCGGAGCUAAUACCGGAUAAUAUUUCGAACCGCAUGGUUCGAUAGUGAAAGAUGGCUUUGCUAUCACUUAUAGAUGGACCUGCGCCGUAUUAGCUAGUUGGUAAGGUAACGGCUUACCAAGGCAACGAUACGUAGCCGACCUGAGAGGGUGAUCGGCCACACUGGAACUGAGACACGGUCCAGACUCCUACGGGAGGCAGCAGUAGGGAAUCUUCCGCAAUGGGCGAAAGCCUGACGGAGCAACGCCGCGUGAGUGAUGAAGGUCUUCGGAUCGUAAAACUCUGUUAUUAGGGAAGAAUAAACGUGUAAGUAACUGUGCACGUCUUGACGGUACCUAAUCAGAAAGCCACGGCUAACUACGUG
rnacentral:rRNA from 1 species